AUUGAACGCUGGCGGAAUGCUUUACACAUGCAAGUCGAACGGCAGCACGGACUUCGGUCUGGUGGCGAGUGGCGAACGGGUGAGUAAUGUAUCGGAACGUGCUCAGUCGUGGGGGAUAACGUAGUGAAAAUUACGCUAAUACCGCAUACGAUCUAUGGAUGAAAGCGGGGGAUCGCAAGACCUCGCGCGAUUGGAGCGGCAGAUAUUAGAUUAGGUAGUUGGUGGGAUAAAGGCCCACCAAGCCAACGAUCUGUAGCUGGUCUGAGAGGACGACCAGCCACACUGGAACUGAGACACGGUCCAGACGCCUAAGGGAGGCAGCAGUGGGGAAUUUUGGACAAUGGGCGAAAGCCUGAUCCAGCCAUUCCGCGUGCAGGAUGAAGGCCCUCGGGUUGUAAACUGCUUUUGUACAGAACGAAAAGGUUUCUACUAAUACUAGGAGCUCAUGACGGUACUGUAAGAAUAAGCACCGGCUAACUACGUGCCAGCCGCCGCAGUAA
rnacentral:rRNA from 1 species